rnacentral:rRNA from 1 species
GGCCAGAAGGCGUAGCCGAUGGACAUCCAGUAGACAUUCUGGACCCAGGCAUAUCAGCCAUGGGAGGACGCUUCCAGACGUCUCAACCCGCACUGUUGGUAGAUGCGGGCUAGUCUUAGGCUGGUUUACUUGAAAGAGUAGAGGAAAGGCUGAAGACGGGGAAGGGAACUCUUCGGAGUGAACGAACUGAGACAGAUGGGGGCCGAGAAAAGCCCCGCAGCGUUAAUGAUAUGUACUGACCGUACUGUAAACCGACACAGG